rnacentral:lncRNA from 1 species
AUGUGUUGGACCAAGGAGGCCCUGAAACUGUCCUGUGGUUGUCAUGGCAACCACACAUUCCUGAGCUGGACCCCUGCAGGCAUCUCCAGGAAACGCUUCCAUAAUUGCCUCAGCCCUUCCCCAGAUGAGAAAUUGCAGCACACAGCAAAUUUGCUUGAGCAACAACUGAAAGAGUCUGAAAAGCUGAUAUACCAAGAAGGGAGGAAAAAAGCAGCAUGGAAGGCAAGUGCCAAGUUUGCAAAUCUCCAGGAGUUGCUCCUGCCCGGGACGGUCCAGGGCCCUGAUUCGGGCCACGUUUUAAUCAGGGCAGCGGGGGGCGGGGUUGAAGCUGGGAUUGGGGAGACAGUGGCUGUUUUUAAUAUUGGUCACGUUAAAAUCUUGAAUGUGCUAUUUAAGAAUCAUGGCUGCGAAUGUGCUAUUUAAGAAUCAUGGCUGCGUUAGAGGUAUUCCUGUAGUAUUCCUGCAGCAUAAUUCCCCCCUAAUCACCUAGAGAUGGAAAUAAAACAGAAGUGCCCCUAGGCA